rnacentral:rRNA from 1 species
CACGUAGGGUGCGAGCGUUGUCCGGAAUUAUUGGGCGUAAAGAGCUCGUAGGCGGUGUGUCGCGUCGGCCGUGAAAACCUGCAGCUUAACUGUGGGCUUGCGGUCGAUACGGGCAUCACUGGAGUUCGGCAGGGGAGACUGGAAUUCCUGGUGUAGCGGUGAAAUGCGCAGAUAUCAGGAGGAACACCGGUGGCGGAAGGCGGGUCUCUGGGCCGAUGACUGACGCUGAGGAGCGAAAGCGUGGGGAGCGAACAGG